rnacentral:lncRNA from 1 species
GCACACAAUGUCCCAGCAUGGUCCAGGUGCCCUAAAAAGUAGAGUUACCCCAAAGCAAAGCAGAUUUCUAGUAGGGAUUUUUUUUUUUCCUUUUAGCAAGUGCUUACACUUCUUAACCAGCUUGGCCUUUUUGCUUCCUCUGGGCUUUUCAGCUAAUCUUUCAGACCCUUGAUAAGCAUCACACAGAAUUAUUAAACUUGAGGUAUGUGUUUGGUUUUAAGGUCCUACCGGGAUAUUAGCCACCUCAGAGUCCAAGUCCAUGCCAGUGUUGGGUUCUGUAUCCAGUGUAACAAAAUCAGCCUUGAACAAGAAAACUCUGGAGGCAGAAUUCAACAACCCGUGUCCCCUAACACCUGAGCCAGGUGAAGGGCCCCGUAAAUUGGAAGGAUGCACGAAUCCCAAGGUUACCUUUCAGUAAGUAACAAUGUUCUUCAUUAAGUAGAAUGUAGACGAAUCUCUAAUGACUGUCAUGCCUUUCUUUGUUGCUCUUCAGAAAGACUUCCAUUCCGCCUGACAAUCCCCUUUCUCCCUCCCUUGAGCCAGCUUCUGCUUCUAGGCUCCCAGCUUGGUGAUUCCUUCAGCUCCAUAGUAAAUGCCACAUGUCCUGAACUGGUCUAGCCAUUGGGUUUGCCUCCUACACAAAGACUUGACCUGGAUGACAAUCCUGCCCCAGAUACCCAUCUUUCUACAACAGCUCCCUAGCCCUGGAGAAGCCACGGCAUCUUUCAGACUCCUUUUGGAGCCUGCAUUUGUCCAGUCUCAUUUUCUGGUCCUUGAAAGAUGUUCCUUCAUCCUGUUCUUUCCAGAGACUGACUGUGUGCCACAUAGAGGGUUAUCUAUAGAGACCAAUUUCCAAGUGCCACUUUGUCAAGUGUAAUCCUGCUAUUGAACGUGUUGCAGACCAGUGCAGAAGAGGAUCAAUUUGUUUUAUAACAAUGGCAAGCUCCAUUUGAAAUUGGUCUACACUCGGGCUCUAAUUCUCUUGCCAGGAUGUCAACUAGACUGUCACUUAAUGAAAAGGAAGAGGUGAGGCCAAUCAGAUCAGCUGAAUCUUGUAAUCACAGUUAAUUAAACCUCUGAUUUCCUGUUCUGUCAGAGAAAGAGGUCCCCCCCUCUCCUUUUGUAGUUUCACUGUCUUGGCUUAAAGGUGAAACCUGGACAAACGAAGUCGAAAUUCAAUUUGAAUCUAUUUUUGCCGACUGGUAUUUUCUUCCUCCCAUGGGGCUAUUGAGAUCCCAUCUCCUUUGGAAUGAAUGGCCGUCUUUGCCGAUUUACAUAUUAUCUAAUUUCACUGUGGGUUUUAAAGCACAUAUUCUCACAGCUCUGUUUCCUUUCUUGGCCGGGAGCUGUUUGCAUCUCCCAGAAAGAUGAUCCAUAUUCAUUCUUUGCCUUUGCUAUUAAAUUUGUUGAACACUAAUUCGACAUCAGCAAUCUGGCAGCAUUUGAACCAAUAUCCAGCACAAAAGCAAUUUGGCAGAGACAAGUUAGUUUCUGAGAAAUGCCUCAGUAUGUGCGUAUAGAUUUUCGCCCCCCCUUCACCGUUUUUCCACAGAUAAUCUUAAUCAGAAAAUACUGCUGCUCCUUCCCCCUUUGUCUGCCUUUUAUUCUCCAAAAGUAAGUGGAAAUUACAUUUCCAAGAAAGGAAAUGAAAUAAUUGCAGGCCCAAGGUCUGCAAAAUGUGUGUUGAAUUGACGGUGAAAAGGAUCUGUGUGCUGACAGAGAGAGUUGCUAGAUGCCAGAAAGGCCUGUGCGGAACUCAAUUUACGUCCCAUCUUGUUCGUUCAAUGACUGCUUAAGAGACACAUUGCAACUUAAUUUAUCUACUUAAAGCACUAAUCUAAGUACUGCGUGCAGCUGUAUUAACUUUUAAACUUUGUAACCCAAUGCUCAUGUCUUCCGUUAUCCCAUUGUUUGGCUGAGAUAUCUACUGCCACGUGUUUUCACAUUAACAGACAUUUAGAAAUAAGAAAAAAAAAAUCCUGUACACACAGUUGGACCUAGGCCUCUCCGAAUAUAUUUAGCAGAUGUGCAGCUUGGGUUUUGUGUGGGUCCCGAACAACUAGAGCAGGGGCUAACUGGAGCAGGGGCUAUCCCUAAAGCUGUUGCCUAUCUGUGGGAUAUGUUCUUCUAGCUGCCUUGUCUGGCCUCAGAGCGAGAGGAUGCACCUAGCCCCACAGAGACUUGAUGUGGAUACCCAGAGGACCCCCACCCACUCAGAGGAGAAGGGGAGGGGGAAGGAUUGUGAGAGAGGAUGACCCGGAGGGGGGCAAUGAAUGGGAUGUAAAGUGAAUACAUUAAAAUAAAUAAAUAAAUUAAUAAAUCC